UGUGUGUAGGAGGAGGGGGAGUUGUGUGUGAGCUUGUGUACGUUUAUUGAUAUGUGUGUGUGUGUAUUUGUCCACACAGGGUACUCAUAUUCCCAGUGUUUGUCAUGUAUCACAUUCUCUCUAUCCAGAGGGGGAAUCAGAUUGAGAAGAUAGAGAAUGUGGAGACUCUGAGAACCCUGCAGGUCCUGGAUCUGUCUCUGAACCGCAUCACAAGUCUGUCAGGCCUGCAGAACCUCCAUCUGCUGGGCUCCAUCAACCUGGAGAGGGACCUGAUCAGUGAAAUUAAGGAGGCCACACACAUCCAUGACCUGUGGCUGCUCCGGGAGCUGAAUCUGCAGAGAAACCCAGUCCAGGAGCAGCUGGACUAUAGACUGGCAGUGAUCUUCCUCCUUCAACACCUAACUGUCCUGGACCAGGAGAAAGUCACAGCAGAGGAGAAGGUGUCGGCCUUGAACAAGUACGACCCUCCUCUGGAGGUGGUGGCGGCCAGGGAGCACAUGAGCCACAUGGUAUACCAGCUGAUGCAGCCUCAGGUCAUCAAUGAUAGCACCCUACCCAGUCUGGACUCUCCCUACCCCAUGCUGCUGUUGACUGGGCCCCAGGCUUGUGGGAAGAGAGAGAGUUUAACGACUUCUUCGCCUACGGAGUCUGCCAUACCACCAGGGGUCCCUACUUUGGGGAAGAGGACGGGAGCGACUAUCAUUUUGUCACGGAGGAAGACUUUCAGAACAUGAUUCACAUGGGUAAAUUCAUCCAGACGAUGCAGUAUGCGGGCCACUGGUAUGGUCUGUCUCGUGAGGCCAUAGAAGACGUGGCCAGGGAGGGCCUGGCCUGCUGUGUGCACCUGGAGCUGGAGGUGGGUGUCAACACACACACAUUCACAUAGCCCAGCAGUAUGAAAUUGGACACAUACGCCCUGAUCAACAGAGAACGCCCAGACUUCUUCGACAAUGUCAUCCCCUGUGAUGAACUAGUGGAGGCCUACAGGACCUUGAGGCAGGUGGUGAAGGAGUAUCUGGGAGUGGAGGAGCAGAGAGGAGAGGACCAGAGCACCACAGACACCCUAGACAACACCUCUACAGAGUUGAAGAGGGACUCCUUAGUGGACGAGGCGCCCCCAGCCCCCUCCACCAGGCCAGAGACAGCCUUUAAGUCCCACUCCGCUCCAUACAUGGACCCCUCGGACCACAACUGUAGGAACUACUACAGCAAGGUCCAGACCCAGCUUACCCCACAGAAGACCUCGGCAGUGAUUCACAACACACACACACGUCAGUAGUCACCAACCCUGCUCCUGGACAACUAUGGUAUUCAGGCUUUUGUUUCAGCCCAGCACUAAUUUGUCUGAUUCAACCAAUCAAGGUCUUGGUGAGCAGUUGAUUAGUUGGAUCUGACUGAUCCAGCCCUGAGGAACCAGGUGUGUACACUCUCUGGCCAAACAGUGACAUUGAUUAAUCAACGUAGUGCCAGGAAGAAAGAGAAAACAGCUGGACUGUAGACAUGGAGGACAGGAGUCAGGCACCUAGGGUCACAAAGGCAGGGUGUAUUACCGGUAGUUUGGCAACACUAGGUGAACCCCCGAGACUGCCUUGUGCUAUUGAUCACAAUGAUCUAGAUCAGGGUUAUUCAACUCUUACCCUACGAGGUCCAGAGCCUGCUGGUUUUCUGUUCUACCUGAUAAUUAAUUGCACACACCUGGUGUCCCAGGUCUAAAUCAGUCCCUGAUUAGAGAGGAACAAUGAAAAACUGCAGUGGAACUGUCUUCGAGGUCCAGAGUUGAGUUUGAGGGAUCUAGAUCAAUCAUCAUUAUUCAUCCACGCCAGUAUCAUGUUUGAAUACUUUAUCUCUCUCUCUGGGCCGUAGGAGCUGGCCUCCAUCCACAGACACAGCAUCAUGUUUAAAUACUUUAUCUCUCUCUCUGGGCCGUAGGAGCUGGCCUCCAUCCACAGACACAGCAUCAUGUUUAAAUACUUUAUCUCUC